UACGUAGGGGGCGAGCGUUGUCCGGAUUUACUGGGCGUAAAGCGCACGCAGGCGGUCUGCUAAGUUUGGAGUGACAGUUGGUGGCUCAACCACCAAAGUGCUUUGAAAACUGACAGACUUGAGGGCUUCAGAGGGACACGGAAUUCCGGGUGGAGUGGUGAAAUGCGUAGAGAUCCGGAGGAACACCAAAGGCGAAGGCAGUGUCCUGGGGAGUACCUGACGCUCAGGUGCGAAAGCCAGGGGAGCGAACGGG
rnacentral:rRNA from 1 species